AAAUGAGUGAGAAUCCAAUGCCCUAAAAGUCUAAGGGUCCCUCCACAAGGUUCAUCUAUGGAGGGUGAGUCAGGGCCUAAGAUCAGGCCGAAAGAAGUAGUCGAUGGACAACAUGUGAAUGUUCUUGUACUACCCCUUGUUGAUCCCGAGGGAUGGAUGAGGCUAGGUUAGCCGAAAGAUGGUUAUCGGUUUAAGGACGCAAGGUGCCCCUACUUUUUCAGGGUAAGAAGGGGUAGAGAAAAUGCCUCGAGCGAAUGUUCGAGUACCAGGCGCUAUGGUGCUGAGGUAACGCAUGCCAUACUCCUAGGAAAAGCUCAAACGACCUUCAACAAAAGGGCACCUGUAUCCGAAACCGACACAUGUGGGUAGGUAGAGAAUACCUAGGGGUGUGAGACAACUUUCUUUAGGGAACUCGGCAAGAUAGCCUCGUAACUUAGGGAAAUGGGUGCCUCCUCACAAAAGGGGUCGUAGUGACCAGGCCUGGGCAACUGUUUACCAAAAACACAGGUCUCCACAAAGUCGUAAAACCAUGUAUGGAGGCUAACGCCUAUCUAGUGCCGGAAGGUCAAGGAAGUUGGUGACCUUAUGACAAAAGAGCCGGCAACCGAAGCCCUGGUGAUCAAAAUGAAGAACUUAUGAUAAUAAUUAUAAGUAUAGAAAAAAAAAAACUUUUUUUUUUGUAAUUUCUACG
rnacentral:ncRNA from 1 species